rfam:Gossypium hirsutum cultivar TM-1 chromosome 2, whole genome shotgun sequence
UGUUAAAAAUUUCAUCCAUUUGUACUAUUAAAAAUUAGAGUGGCUGAUGAAAAAACCAAACAAAGACAGCACCACAUGUACUUCACGUUGACAAACUGAGACCAGUUUUUAAUAGUAGAAAUUGAUGGAAAUUUUAACA